GAUGAAGACGCAGCGAAAUGCGAUAAGUAAUGUGAAUUGCAGAAUUCAGUGAAUCAUCGAAUCUUUGAACGCAUCUUUCGCUCCUUGGUAUUCUGAGGAGCAUGCCUGUUUGAGUGUCAUUAAAUUCUCAACUACACUGACUUUGAAUUGGUGUGGCUUGGAUUUGGGGGGAAAAUUGUUGUGGGCUUUUUGUAUAGUCUGCUCCCCUGAAAUUGAUUAGCGGUACCUUUGUGGAACUGUCUACAGGUGUGAUAAUUAUCUACAUCUUAGACAUCUGCUGGAAUGCUGCUUUCUAAACCUUACUUGUAUUGACAAUCUUGACCUCAAAUCAGGUAGGACUACCCGCUGAACUUAAGCAUAUCAAUAAGCGGAGGA
rnacentral:misc_RNA from 1 species